UAGUACCUUUUUAGUGUUUUGGUUAUUUGUUGUGUUAAUCCGUCAAUGUUUGUGAGCGAGUAGAAUUUCAUUUCGUCUUGGUGUGUUUCUGUCUCGGUUUCUGUUCUACUCACGUCCAUAGCUGUAUUGUUGUUUACCGUUUGAUGUUUUGCACGGUUGAUUAGUCUGUUGAUGAGGCAUUUCGGGUAGUCGUUUGCUUUCAGGUGGCGGUGUACGAUUUCUCUUUUCCUUUUUAGGUCCAAGUUCGUGGAGAAAACCAUCACCCGCUUGACGAAGUUUUGGGCUACAUUCAUCUUUUGGUGCAUUGGAUGACCGGAAUGAAAAUUGAGGAAACGUCCCGACGCGAUGCUCUUGCAGUACCAUUCCGUUUUUACCGUGUCGUCCUCCUGUCGGAUGAGUGCCAUAGCAAGCAAUGGUGCCAUAGCAAGCAAUGGUGGAAGAUUCCAAAAACAGGGACCGAAUUCUAGACCGCCCGAUAGGUAGGAGAUUGUCCGCAUCACGACGGUUGAAAACCGAACGGACUCAAUCUAUACCAAAACUUCCGCAUGACAUUUUUGAGUUUAGCAAAGCCAUCUUGACUAGGAAACCUUGACCGAUUGGUAAAUUGUAAAACUAAUUAAAUGUUUAAAAUUUUGUAUUGAUAGUUGAAUAAUUAUAUUUUAGAACCCUUGAAAAAGGUCCCAUACGGACCGAAACGUCGGGAAAAAUCAUAAA